rnacentral:rRNA from 1 species
GUAACACUAACUGGAGGACCGAACCGACUAAUGUUGAAAAAUUAGCGGAUGACUUGUGGCUGGGGGUGAAAGGCCAAUCAAACCGGGAGAUAGCUGGUUCUCCCCGAAAGCUAUUUAGGUAGCGCCUCGUGAAUUCAUCUCCGGGGGUAGAGCACUGUUUCGGCAAGGGGGUCAUCCCGACUUACCAACCCGAUGCAAACUGCGAAUACCGGAGAAUGUUAUCACGGGAGACACACGGCGGGUGCUAACGUCCGUCGUGAAGAGGGAAACAACCCAGACCGCCAGCUAAGGUCCCAAAGUCAUGGUUAAGUGGGAAACGAUGUGGGAAGGCCCAGACAGCCAGGAUGUUGGCUUAGAAGCAGCCAUCAUUUAAAGAAAGCGUAAUAGCUCACUGGUCGAGUCGGCCUGCGCGGAAGAUGUAACGGGGCUAAACCAUGCACCGAAGCUGCGGCAGCGACACUGUGUGUUGUUGGGUAGGGGAGCGUUCUGUAAGCCUGCGAAGGUGUGCUGUGAGGCAUGCUGGAGGUAUCAGAAGUGCGAAUGCUGA